GACGAACGCUGGCGGCGUGCUUAACACAUGCAAGUCGAACGAAGUGGCGAACGGGUGAGUAAUGCGUAAUCAACAUGCUCUUCUGAGGGGGACAACAGUUGGAAACGACUGCUAAUACCGCAGAGCGAGGGUGGGGAUUGCGUCUGAUUAGCUAGUUGGAGGUGUAAGGGCCCACCAAGGCGAGGAUCAGUAGCCGGGCUGAGAGGAUGAGCGGCCACAUGGGGACACAGUCACGGCCCAGACCCCUACAGGAUGCAGCAGGGGGGAAUCGUCCGGCAUGGACGAAAGUCUGACGGAGCCACGCCGCGUGAGUGAUGACGGGCUUCGGGUUGUAAAGCUUUGUUAAUCGGGACGCGGUACCGGAAUAGAAAGCCACGGCUAACUACGUGCCAGCCACCGCGGUAAUUC
rnacentral:rRNA from 1 species